UUUGAAAAAAGAAUUUAAAAAAAAAAAACUUCGCCCAAAGCAGACUACAGACCCGAAUUUCGCCCAAUAGUUUUGGCAGGACCUUAACCUACUUCUCUACUCCCCCAUAACGCCGCCCAGCCUUCUCUCCUCCGCCCAGCCGUUUUUCCGCGGCUCACCUCACCUCAUUUGCCCAGCCGGCAGCCGUCCAGUACAGCAGUACUCCGUUUCCGCGGCUCACCAAGUUCUCAACUCCUCAAGUAACGCGAGCCCAGCCACUCAGCUAGAGCAGCCUCCCCGGCCGGCGGCCGCCCACCUCAACGCGUGCCCAGCCGGAACUCCGACAGCCGCCUGCCCGCCCACCUCACGAGUCACCAUUCACCAAUCACCAUUCGGUCCAUUCUUCAGAGACGCAACUGACGCAAGUUUGAGUAAUGCAUCAGUUGGUUAUUGUUGCUGGGAAGGAGCAACGGUUCUGCUAGCAAUGUACCAGGUAAAAAAAAAAAUGAUACUCCUUCCUUCUCAAAAUAAAUGUCUUGAUAGACCAUUGAGUCAUUGACCUUGUUAAAGGUGCGCUGAUAAGAAACUACUCUAUAUAUUAAGUUGCUGGUGUUGAUUGUAGAAAAGUGGGUCUAUUGAAAAUGUAGGUACAUAGAGUAAUGAAUUUUGGGUGCUGCACUGAUUCUGUUGCAUCACCUUUGGUAUGCUAUAUCUUUGCUUUUUGUUCCUGUCAUAGUAUAUACUGCAAUCCCUUAGGUUUCAGUCCCUUGAAGAGUUUGACGAGGUUAAGAGAAGCUGCAGAAAACGGUUGGAUGUACAUAAUCGACGUAGCAAGAAGAGACAACCUGAAGCCUUUUACAUGCCUAAUUCUGUUGCUGCCUUUUUGUCAUCUCAUACAGGUGAUAUAAUCAAUUCUCAUCCAACAAAGAUUUUAUGGCAUUAGCUACAUAUAUAUCAUAUUAGGACUUGUUUCUUGAAAAUCUAUAAAAUAUUCAAAAUGCAGUAGAUGUAAUGCUCCAGUUUUGCUGCCCACAAACUCUUACUAUAAUUUGGCCUACAAUGUCACAACUUCCUGAUCUUUACUUCAAAAAUAAUCAAGAAACAACUUUUGAGCCACUUCUGAAUGGGGUUGGUCAAACCGGAAGUUGGACACUGAAGGUUCCGGCUGACAACUCAGGAUUUGCUCUCUCUCUUCUGUCAAGGUAUUGAUCAGAUAUCUGUGUGGAACCUGUUAUGCAACCAACACCUAUUAGUUCAUCAACAGUUCAAGGUCAAGGUAUUAUUGCUAUUGAUGAAAAAUCUUUCGGUCCAUUUGCUAAGCCCUAAAUUUGAGGAAUAUGGAAUUACGGAGUGCAAGCUGAAGUUUCCGGAGUGCAACCUUUUGCUGCUCCUACUGAUGUGCAUCCUCAUUCAAGAAGACCGCAGGCUGAUUUUCUUUGCUUGAGUAAUGAACCUGUACACGGAUUAGGGGAAGGGUAUUGUUACAUUAUGUUUUUUUCCUUUCCCAUUUUGUAAACGCGUAGGAGUAACUUGUAAAAUGUACGCUAUUUUUUAAUAUAUUUAAUGCUUGUUUAUGCAAAA